GGUCCCAUCGUCUAGUGGUCCAGGACGCCGGCCUCUCACGCCGGUAACACGGGUUCGACUCCCGUUGGGACUACCA
rnacentral:tRNA from 1 species